GACGUAGGGGGCCAGCGUUGUUCGGAAUUACUGGGUGUAAAGGGUUCGUAGGCGGUGCGGCAAGUUGGGAGUGAAAUCUCUGGGCUUAACCCAGAGGCUGCUUCCAAAACUGCUGUGCUUGAGUGUGGGAGAGGCGCGUGGAGUUGACAUGGUGUAGCGGUGAAAUGCGUAGAUAUCUGCAGGAACACCCGUGGCGAAAGCGGCGCGCUGGACCACUACUGACGCUGAGGAACGAAAGCUAGGGGAGCAAACAGG
rnacentral:rRNA from 1 species